AUUGAACGCUGGCGGUAUGCUUUACACAUGCAAGUCGAACGGCAGCACGGACUUCGGUCUGGUGGCGAGUGGCGAACGGGUGAGUAAUGUAUCGGAACGUGCCCAGUCGAGGGGGAUAACGUAGUGAAAAUUACGCUAAUACCGCAUACGAUCUAUGGAUGAAAGCGGGGGAUCGCAAGACCUCGCGCGAUUGGAGCGGCCGAUAUCAGAUUAGGUAGUUGGUGGGGUAAAGGCCCACCAAGCCAACGAUCUGUAGCUGGUCUGAGAGGACGACCAGCCACACUGGAAAUGGGACACGGUCCAGACUCCUACGGGAGGCAGCAGUGGGGAAUUUUGGACAAUGGGCGAAAGCCUGAUCCAGCCAUUCCGCGUGCAGGAUGAAGGCCCUCGGGUUGUAAACUGCUUUUGUACAGAACGAAAAGGUUUCUACUAAUACUAGGAGCUCAUGACGGUACUGUAAGAAUAAGCACCGGCUAACUACGUGCCAGCCGCCGCCGUAA
rnacentral:rRNA from 1 species